AUUGAACGCUGGCGGCGUGCCUAAUACAUGCAAGUCGAGCGAAGUUUUUCUGGUGCUUGCACUAGAAAAACUUAGCGGCGAACGGGUGAGUAACACGUAAAGAACCUGCCUCAUAGACUGGGACAACUAUUGGAAACGAUAGCUAAUACCGGAUAACAGUAUUUCUCGCAUGAGAGAUAUUUAAAAGUUGGUUAUGCUAACACUAUGAGAUGGCUUUGCGGUGCAUUAGCUAGUUGGUGGGGUAAAGGCCCACCAAGGCGACGAUGCAUAGCCGACCUGAGAGGGUGAUCGGCCACACUGGGACUGAGACACGGCCCAGACUCCUACGGGAGGCAGCAGUAGGGAAUCCUCCGCAAUGGGCGAAAGCCUGACGGAGCAACGCCGCGUGAGUGAAGAAGGAUUUCGGUUCGUAAAGCUCUGUUGUUAGGGAAGAAUGAUUGUGUAGUAACUAUACACAGUAGAGACGGUACCUAACCAGAAAGCCACGGCUAACUACGUGCCAGCAGCCGCGGUAAUACGUAGGUGGCAAGCGUUGUCCGGAAUUAUUGGGCGUAAAGCGCGCGCAGGUGGUUUAAUAAGUCUGAUGUGAAAGCCCACGGCUCAACCGUGGAGGGUCAUUGGAAACUGUUAAACUUGAGUGCAGGAGAGAAAAGUGGAAUUCCUAGUGUAGCGGUGAAAUGCGUAGAGAUUAGGAGGAACACCAGUGGCGAAGGCGGCUUUUUGGCCUGUAACUGACACUGAGGCGCGAAAGCGUGGGGAGCAAACAGG
rnacentral:rRNA from 1 species